AGCGUAGGCGGACUUUUAAGUGAGAUGUGAAAUACCCGGGCUCAACUUGGGUGCUGCAUUUCAAACUGGAAGUCUAGAGUGCAGGAGAGGGGAAUGGAAUUCCUAGUGUAGCGGUGAAAUGCGUAGAGAUUAGGAAGAACACCAGUGGCGAAGGCGAUUCUCUGGACUGUAACUGACGCUGAGGCUCGAAAGCGUGGGAGCAAACA
rnacentral:rRNA from 1 species